rnacentral:rRNA from 1 species
UACGUAGGGGGCAAGCGUUGUCCGGAAUCAUUGGGCGUAAAGAGCGUGUAGGCGGCCUGAUAAGUCGGUUGUGAAAGUCAAGGGCUCAACCCUUGAAUGCCGGCCGAUACUGUCAGGCUAGGGUCCGGAAGAGGCGAGUGGAAUUCCUGGUGUAGCGGUGAAAUGCGCAGAUAUCAGGAGGAACACCGAUGGCGAAGGCAGCUCGCUGGGACGGUACUGACGCUGAGACGCGAAAGCGUGGGGAGCGAACAGG